GAUGAACGCUAGCUACAGGCUUAACACAUGCAAGUCGAGGGGCAGCGGGAUUGAAGCUUGCUUCAAUUGCCGGCGACCGGCGCACGGGUGAGUAACGCGUAUCCAACCUUCCGCUUACUCGGGGAUAGCCUUUCGAAAGAAAGAUUAAUACCCGAUGGUAUCUUAAGCACGCAUGAGAUUAAGAUUAAAGAUUUAUCGGUAAGCGAUGGGGAUGCGUUCCAUUAGGCAGUUGGCGGGGUAACGGCCCACCAAGGCGACGAUCAGUAGCCGGACUGAGAGGUUGAACGGCCACAUUGGGACUGAGACACGGCCCAG
rnacentral:rRNA from 1 species